rnacentral:rRNA from 1 species
CCUACGGGAGGCAGCAGUGGGGAAUAUUGCACAAUGGGCGCAAGCCUGAUGCAGCAACGCCGCGUGAGGGACGACGGCCUUCGGGUUGUAAACCUCUUUUAGUAGGGAAGAAGCGAAAGUGACGGUACCUGCAGAAAAAGCACCGGCUAACUACGUGCCAGCAGCCGCGGUAAUACGUAGGGUGCAAGCGUUGUCCGGAAUUAUUGGGCGUAAAGAGCUCGUAGGCGGUUUGUCGCGUCUGCUGUGAAAACCCCGAGGCUCAACCUCGGGCCUGCAGUGGGUACGGGCAGACUAGAGUGCGGUAGGGGAGAUUGGAAUUCCUGGUGUAGCGGUGGAAUGCGCAGAUAUCAGGAGGAACACCGAUGGCGAAGGCAGAUCUCUGGGCCGUAACUGACGCUGAGGAGCGAAAGCAUGGGGAGCGAACAGGAUUAGAUACCCUGGUAGUCCAUGCCGUAAACGUUGGGAACUAGAUGUAGGGACCAUUCCACGGUUUCUGUGUCCGCNGCUACGACAUACGUUACCCGUCCGUCGGGUAGGUACGGCCGCGACGGACGUAAACGUACGUAAAGGUAAGUUAGUUACGGCGUGAGACGUGCCGACGGCGACGACGAGGGAGGAGG